GACGAGCGCUGGCGGCGUGCUUAACACAUGCAAGUCGAACGGAAAGGCCCUGCUUUUGUGGGGUGCUCGAGUGGCGAACGGGUGAGUAACACGUGAGUAACCUGCCCUUGACUUUGGGAUAACUUCAGGAAACUGGGGCUAAUACCGGAUAGGAGCUCCUGCUGCAUGGUGGGGGUUGGAAAGUUUCGGCGGUUGGGGAUGGACUCGCGGCUUAUCAGCUUGUUGGUGGGGUAGUGGCUUACCAAGGCUUUGACGGGUAGCCGGCCUGAGAGGGUGACCGGCCACAUUGGGACUGAGAUACGGCCCAGACUCCUACGGGAGGCAGCAGUGGGGAAUAUUGCACAAUGGGCGGAAGCCUGAUGCAGCAACGCCGCGUGCGGGAUGACGGCCCUCGGGUUGUAAACCGCUUUCGCCUGUGACGAAGCGUGAGUGACGGUAAUGGGUAAAGAAGCACCGGCUAACUACGUG
rnacentral:rRNA from 1 species